AGAGUUUGAUCAUGGCUCAGGACGAACGCUGGCGACGUGCCUAAUGCAUGCAAGUCGAACGCAGGGUGCUUGCACCGCUGCGUGGCGCACGGCUGAGGAACACGUGGGGAGCCACCCCGGAGUGGGGGAUACCCCGGCGAAAGCCGGGACAAGCCCGCAUACGCUCGGCAACGAGGAAAGGCGCAAGCCGCUCCGGGACGCGCCUGCGGCCCAGCAGGUAGUUGGUGUGGUAACGGCGCACCAAGCCGACGACGGGUAGGGGGCCUGAGAGGGUGAUCCCCCACACUGGGACGGAGACACGGCCCAGACUCCUACGGGAGGCAGCAGCGAGGGAUUUUCCCCAAUGGGCGCAAGCCUGAGGGAGCAACGCCGCGUGGGGGACGACGGCCUUCGGGUUGUAAACCCCUUUUGCGGGGGACGAUACUGACGGUACCCCGCGAAGAAGCCUCGGCUAACUCCGUGCCAGCAGCCGCGGUAAUAC
rnacentral:rRNA from 1 species